AUUGAACGCUGGUGGCAUGCCUUACACAUGCAAGUCGAACGGCAGCGGACCUUCGGGUGCCGGCGAGUGGCGAACGGGUGAGUAAUAUAUCGGAACGUACCUUUCAGUGGGGGAUAACGUAGCGAAAGUUACGCUAAUACCGCAUAUUCUGUGAGCAGGAAAGCAGGGGAUCGCAAGACCUUGCGCUGAUUGAGCGGCCGAUAUCAGAUUAGCUAGUUGGUGAGGUAAAGGCUCACCAAGGCGACGAUCUGUAGCGGGUCUGAGAGGAUGAUCCGCCACACUGGAACUGAGACACGGUCCAGACUCCUACGGGAGGCAGCAGUGGGGAAUUUUGGACAAUGGGCGCAAGCCUGAUCCAGCCAUGCCGCGUGAGUGAAGAAGGCCU
rnacentral:rRNA from 1 species